ACCUGGCUGGCUUAGUUGGUAGAGCAUGCGACCUAAGAUCUCAAGGUCGUGAGUUCAAGCCCCACGUUGGGUG